rnacentral:rRNA from 1 species
UGGACAACAGGUUAAUAGUCCUGUACCACGUUAAGUUGCAUGACCGAGGGAGAGACGCAGGAGGGUAGGUUGGCCGGCCGUUGGUCGUGCCGGUGCCAAGCUUGUAGGUGAUGAGACCGGGGUUAAAAGACCGGUUGAGCUGAGGAGUGAUGGCGAGCCCGCAAGGGUGGAAGCAACUGAGCCCAAACUGUCAAGAAAAUCUUCUAGGGAGACUUGCGUGCCCGUACCGCAAACCGACACCGGUAGAUGAGUUGAAUAUACUAAGGGGAUCGGGAGAACCUUCGUUAAGGAAUUAGGCAAAUUAGAUCCGUAACUUCGGGAGAAGGAUCGCCUCUGUAGGAUGAAGCCGACUAGCUCGGUUGAGUCUGACGAGGCCGCAGAGAAAUGGCUCUAUCGACUGUUUACCAAAACACAGGUCUGUGCGAAGUCGUGAGACGAAGUAUACAGG